rnacentral:rRNA from 1 species
AGCGAACGCUGGCGGCAGGCCUAACACAUGCAAGUCGAACGAACUCUUCGGAGUUAGUGGCGGACGGGUGAGUAACACGUGGGAACGUUCCUUUUGGUUCGGAAUAACUCAGGGAAACUUGUGCUAAUACCGAAUGUGCCCUUCGGGGGAAAGAUUUAUCGCCAUUAGAGCGGCCCGCGUCUGAUUAGCUAGUUGGUGAGGUAACGGCUCACCAAGGCGACGAUCAGUAGCUGGUCUGAGAGGAUGACCAGCCACACUGGGACUGAGACACGGCCCAGACUCCUACGGGAGGCAGCAGUGGGGAAUCUUGCGCAAUGGGCGAAAGCCUGACGCAGCCAUGCCGCGUGAAUGAUGAAGGUCUGAGGAUUGUAAAAUUCUUUCACCGGGGACGAUAAUGACGGUACCCGGAGAAGAAGCCCCGGCUAACUUCGUG